AGAACGAACGCUGGCGGCAGGCUUAACACAUGCAAGUCGAGCGCCCCGCAAGGGGAGCGGCAGACGGGUGAGUAACGCGUGGGAACAUACCCUCCGGUUCGGAAUAGCUCAGGGAAACUUGGAUUAAUACCGGAUACGGCCUAGCGGCGAAAGAUUCAUCGCCGGAGGAUUGGCCCGCGUCUGAUUAGCUAGUUGGUGGGGUAAUGGCCCACCAAGGCGACGAUCAGUAGCUGGUCUGAGAGGAUGAUCAGCCACAUUGGGACUGAGACACGGCCCAAACUCCUACGGGAGGCAGCAGUGGGGAAUAUUGGACAAUGGGCGCAAGCCUGAUCCAGCCAUGCCGCGUGAGUGAUGACGGCCUUAGGGUUGUAAAGCUCUUUCGCUAGGGACGAUAAUGACGGUACUAGACAGAAGCCCGGCUAACUUCGCGCCAGCAGCCGC
rnacentral:rRNA from 1 species